GUCAUCACCACGAGAAGAAUUUGUCCCUAGUAGUCUCUGGACCAGAGGUAGAGCAGAUUUGAACCCAACCCACACCUAAAGCAGAACCACCAGACUGACUUGCAUACAUUUGAGUAAGAAAAAUAAAUGCUGAAAGCAUCUCUAAAGGGACAGUGCCCAGGAAAUUGUAAAAGCUUAUGGGAAUGCUAGGAGUUUUUAUUGAAAAGAGGAAAAUGUGA
rnacentral:lncRNA from 1 species